GCAAAUCGAGUCUUGAUCGGACGGCUACGCCCUCGAUCUAAUAAGUUGCUCCCUUCGGGUGACCGGAAGAUGAGAUAGGAUACAGACAAAUAAAUUUUGACGUACAAAUAGCUUUCUGUUUUUUUAUCUUUAAAAAAAGAAAAAUCUUAUCUUAAUCCCUCUAAAUCUAAUACUGCGGUGCGGUGCAGAGUAGCAAGCCCUCUCCUCUAUAUAAACCACACUGCUUUUCCUUACCUCUGUCUUGACCUCGGGCGGUAGGAGUCCUUUCUUUAUCGAUGUCUCCUCCUCGGUCCAGUAAAAUCCAGAAAAAGAGACCGUAAAUUUCGUCUUUUUAACUCUCUCUCUCUCUCUCUCUCG
rnacentral:lncRNA from 1 species